AAAAGUCGACGGCGGUGUAAUUGGUUGACGGUGGCGGAAGCUUUGCACAGAACAUGAAUGGAGUGAUAAACUCAACGUCCAAAUUUUGGGAAUAAAAUAAGGCCCCUCAAUGGGGUCUAAAAAAAUGCAUUAUAUAAAGGGCCUAAAAUAAAUCUCAAUGAUAAGGGGCUUAAUAUAUUGGGGCUUUAAUAGGGCUUAAUAAUUGGGGCUUUUAAAUAUAGGGCUUAUUUGACAGCUCUAGAAGGAAGUGAGGGUCGAAAAAGUUGUUACCAGUAUGAAGACAGAGCCCUUAGAGGCAGUUCUAUUGGUUCUGUUUGGAGGAGUGGUGAUGAGUUAUGGGAGGAAUGGUUGGGUUAGAAGUGGAGGUUGAAAAAAUCAGAAGUUGGAAGUGGAAGGUUGAGGUUAAGGGUUUGGAGAUGCGGGUGGUUGAAAGGAGGGUGAAGUUGUGAAUUGUUGAAUGAUGGUGAAGAUGAUGGAAGAUUGAAGGGUUCAGUUUGCUGCGGUUAUAUAGUUGGUUUGGAUAUGGAAGUUGGUUUGGAUAUGGUUAUGGAGAAGUUCUCAGUUCUGUUGAAGGGUGUGCUUGAGGGUUAUUAAAAGGUGGUUAGAAGUUGGUUACAAUUAGAUUAUAACGGUUAUGACAGUUGGUUAUUGUCUAUGGUUUGUUAGGAUUCGGUUAUUUCUGUUCUAAAAUUCUGUUUUGGAGUUUUCUAACUUUUCUUCAUAUUGGCCCCUUUUUUAGUUUUUGUUUUGGUAUGAUAUGUCGGUUAGUGAUUAUUGAACGAAUUGUUUCUUAUAGUCUGUUGUGAAUUUAUUAGAGUGUGUAAGUUGAAAUGGUUUGAACCCUUCGUUGUGCACUUGCAGGUUGGACGGUUGUAAAGCUUUGGAAGCAGGUUCCACGGGUGGUGUUAGUAUGGUGAGGUUAGCAUGCUGCCGGUUCAGAAUUGGUCGGUUGGAUGGAGAUUUUUGAAGUCAGUUCUGUUAUAGGUUUUUUUCUUUGAAUUCUGUUACAGGUUAUCUCACUGUUAUGUGAGGUCGGUUAUGUGUUGUUAGAAAUUAGUUAGUUUUUUUGUUAAAUUCUGUUACAAGUCAGUUGGUUAGAAGCUUUGAAAUGAAUUGGUUUUAUGCUUUAUGUCAUGGUGUGCAGGUUGGAUAGUUAAAUGCAGGGUUGAACCGGUUCUGUUUUGUUUAUGAUGACUUGCUGCUAAAACUGACUAUGCUUUGCACGAUUUGUUAUGCAGGGCUGCCACAGAAGGCUUUGGACCAUGCUAUGGAAUGCAUUGCUUGGAGUUUUAGAUACGGAUUGGUUUACUUGGAAUUGAAGCUUGUAGGUCACCAUGUGGA
rnacentral:lncRNA from 1 species